AGAAAUUAUUACAUGAACUCAAUUGACCACGUCAAUGAUGAACGAAGCAAGUCGUGUUUCUGCAGAAACCCUGAAAACCGUACUCACCGAGCAGAUGACCUGCAGGUUUCUGCAGUGUGCUCUCCAUUGGUGUUUGGCUAAUUCAUCAUGAAGAAUCUGAAGCUUUCCAUGGAGGCGUCUCUGAACGGCAAGCUCCAGUCAGAAGACGAAGUGCUGUUGUUCCUCUGCCUUUGAUAUUGAGCGGAACCGGCUGAUCUUCGCUUCCUCCGCGAACUUCAUAUACACAACGGAGCUGUACUUGUUCCAAUGAGGAGUUGAACCUGAAUUUGACAGAAGCAGCCUGGAUAAGCUAGAUCUAUAUAACAUAUUUGUGUGCAUUAGGCUCGAAAUCAAUAACUAAGGUCUCAAUCCUUCCCCCACUGGCUUCAGUCUUAGUCAGGAGCCUCGCCCUGCAGUUUGCUGAUAAUUUGAUCUCAAAAGGGGUUGAAACAACUAAGAUCUCGGGCUGGAACCAUGGGAAGUUGCCGGGAUUCUAACGGGUGGCUUUGCUGGCCUCUCAAGAUUCGCGCUGUCAGUUAUGCAGCAACUUUCACACAAGCACAGAAGGAGGAGAAGAAGAAUGAGAGAUAAAGAAUCCUUUUCUUCAUUCAUCAAAACACAUCAUACUUAAUCUGUCUGAUACAACACACAUAUAUGUAGGCAGAGUAACUGCCAACUAACUGCCCCCUAUGGCUAGUUACAUUCAAAUUCAAAACAUCACACACUAACAGACACACAUUUAACUUUCUUGAGACAAAUAACUGCCCACAGACGCAAAAAAAUAAAGACUAUAAAUGAAUAAGGACAUGAUAUGGAUCAGUGACUGAUCCAAACUUCCAAUAGAUAGAACGAGAAUUAGCAUUAUGUUUUUCCUUUGUUGCUAUUUUGUUUAAUCAAGAAUGACGAAUUAGUGUUAUGUUUCUUCUUUGUUGCUAGUAUUCUCUGGUAAUAAGAUUUAUAAGCCGUUAUUUAACUUAUUUUCGACCUCAGAUUAUCACUAGAAAGCAAAAUGGCUACUUCUGAUGUUAUCCCUUCACGUCUGCUUUCGACACUCCCGGGAGUCCAGAGCAUUUAAAUGCUUUCAUUUCAAGGCAUAGCCAACACUGUUGGGGCAGUUCCCGGGAUCAUUGGAGUUGCUCUCACCAGUUAUCUCCUCUGUUCGACUCAUACUUGUAGUAUCUCGUUAUCUGCGCCUUCUAUCUUCUUCUACCUGACUGGGGCAAUCGUCUGGUUGUCGUAAGCGAGCAGAGAGCCCAGAACUUCCCAAGAGAGAUCAAUGAAAUUCUUCCCGUAAUCGGUGAUUCCUUUAGUCUCUCUCUAUACAGAAUUGGAUGUAAAAUUUUCUCAACUCCAGAAUGCUUCAUAUAUAUUUACUAGACUUUUUGACCCGUA